rnacentral:rRNA from 1 species
GACGAACGCUGGCGGCGUGCUUAACACAUGCAAGUCGAACGGUGAAGCGCCUUCCUUUUUGGUGGGUGUGGAUGAGUGGCGAACGGGUGAGUAACACGUGAGUAACCUGCCCCCUUCUUCUGGAUAACCGCAUGAAAGUGUGGCUAAUACGGGAUAUUCUGGGUCUGUCGCAUGAUGGGUCUGGGAAAGAUAUUGUUUCGGUGGGGGAUGGGCUCGCGGCCUAUCAGCUUGUUGGUGGGGUGAUGGCCUACCAAGGCGGUGACGGGUAGCCGGCCUGAGAGGGUGGACGGUCACACUGGGGCUGAGACACGGCCCAGACUCCUACGGGAGGCAGCAGUGGGGAAUAUUGCACAAUGGGCGCCAGCCUGAUGCAGCGACGCCGCGUGAGGGAUGGAGGCCUUCGGGUUGUGAACCUCUUUCGCCAGUGAAGCAGGCCUGCCUCGUUUGUGGGUGGGUUGACGGUAGCUGGAUAAGAAGCGCCGGCUAACUACGUG